rnacentral:rRNA from 1 species
UACGAAGGGGGCUAGCGUUGUUCGGAAUCACUGGGCGUAAAGCGCACGUAGGCGGACUUUCAAGUCAGGGGUGAAAUCCCGGAGCUCAACUUCGGAAUUGCCUUUGAUACUGUUGGUCUCGAGUCCGGAAGAGGUGGGUGGAAUUCCUAGUGUAGAGGUGAAAUUCGUAGAUAUUAGGAAGAACACCGGUGGCGAAGGCGGCCCACUGGUCCGGUACUGACGCUGAGGUGCGAAAGCGUGGGGAGCAAGCAGG